UAGAAUUUGGUGUAUAUGGUAGCACGAGGAAUUUUGAGUUCCUAGGAGUGGGUUCAAGGCCUAUGGUUCUAG
rnacentral:tRNA from 1 species